GGGGACGUUUCGGAUUCGACAGGGAUGGUCUGAGCCCUGGUGGCGCGUCGGAGGGUCGGCUCCGCAACAACGACACAGUAUAACAACUGGCAAAACUAACAACAACCUCGCUUUCGCAGCGUAAGCUGCUGAAACGGUCCUUCGGUUCCAUCGCCCAUGUGGCAUCGCAGGACUCACCUAUCAGUGGGAUACGACGCCUGACCGCCGCCUGAGGCGGGCGUAAGAGACCAUCAGGAUAGCGCACAGGACGCCUGCUGACCGGCAGAUUGCUGCGCGAAACCCAGUAGAUCAGCUACACGCGUAGAAGCCAGGGUAUUGGAGUCUCUGGACGCGGGUUCAAAUCCCGCCGUCUCCACCA
rfam:Edaphobacillus lindanitolerans strain MNA4 genome assembly, contig: Ga0116976_14